UAAGAAAUAUUGGUCAAUGGGCGCAAGCCUGAACCAGCCAUGCCGCGUGCAGGAAGACGGCCCUAUGGGUUGUAGACUGCUUUUGUCAGGGAAUAAACCCCCGCUCGUGAGCGGGGCUGAAGGUACCUGAAGAAUAAGCAUCGGCUAACUCCGUGCCAGCAGCCGCGGUAAUACGGAGGAUGCAAGCGUUAUCCGGAUUCAUUGGGUUUAAAGGGUGCGCAGGCGGAUUGGUAAGUCAGGGGUGAAAUCCCACAGCUCAACUGUGGAACUGCCUUUGAUACUGUCAGUCUAGAGUAUAGUUGAAGUGGGCGGAAUGUGUCAUGUAGCGGUGAAAUGCUUAGAUAUGACACAGAACACCGACCGCGAAGGCAGCUCGCUAAGCUAUAACUGACGCUCAUGCACGAAAGCGUGGGGAUCAAACAG
rnacentral:rRNA from 1 species